rnacentral:rRNA from 1 species
UACGUAGGGGCCAAGCGUUGUCCGGAUUUAUUGGGCGUAAAGAGCUCGUAGGCGGUUCGGCAAGUCAGCUGUGAAAUCUCCACGCUCAACGUGGAGGGGUCAGCUGAUACUGCUGUGACUUGAGUCCGGUAGGGGAGUGUGGAAUUCCCGGUGUAGCGGUGAAAUGCGCAGAUAUCGGGAGGAACACCCGUGGCGAAGGCGGCUCUCUGGAACGCAACUGACGCUGAGACGCGAAAGCGUGGGGAGCAAACAGG